rnacentral:tRNA from 1 species
GGGGUGGGGCUCAGUGGUAGAGCGUUUGCCUAGCAUGUGUGAGGCACUGGGUUCAUGCCUCAGCACCACA